CAUCCGGAAGAUUUGCUGACCGUGGAUUCCGGAGGUACUGAUAUAAGUCUUGUGUUUGGUUUUGCAAGUCAUAUGGCUUUUAUACCGAUGAAUUGUUUUUGUUUGUUAGUUGUANNNNNNNNGCAAUUGGACUGUGGUUUUGUCCCAAAUUGUAGUACUAUGAGAGAUGCUUUUUUUAAAAUCCGACUGUUUUUUUUGAGCACAAAAGAAACAGUCGGAU
rnacentral:misc_RNA from 1 species